CCGGGAGGCGACAGUGGGGAAUUCUGCGCAAUGGGGGAAACCCCUGACGCAGCAACGCCGCGUGGGUGAUGAAGGCCUUCGGGUCGUAAAGCCCCUGUCGGGAGGGAAGAAAUGAUUGAGGGUUAAUACCUCUUGAUCUUGACGGUACCUCCGAAGGAAGCACCCGGCUAACUCCCGUGCCAGCA
rnacentral:rRNA from 1 species